AAGGUGACAUGCCUGAGCAGGCAGACAGACUGGCUCUAGACAUCUCAGGAAGGUGACACACCUGAGCGGGCACACAGACUGGCUCUAGACAGCCCGGGAAGGUGAUGUGCCUGAGUACACAUCACCUUGACAGCCCGGGAAGGUGACACUCACCAGAAGAGGGCAAAGGAAGGGCAGGAGGUGUGUCCAGCUUCAUCCCUCAGAUCCUGGAAGACCUGUGCUGUGCCCACCUCGAGGUGCGAACGUGAGGGGGUAAGUGACUGAGAGCCACAGCUGCUCAGAGACACUCACUCUUGGGUCAGCUGUGCUAGCCUGGAGUGAAGAAUCACCCUUUGAAACGGAGGGCAAGCAGGGCCACCAGGGCGGGGAUUGGGAGCAGCCGCCACUGCCCGCACUCAGCAGUGCCAUUGUCUAGCCCCCUUGGCUUUGGUUUUCCUAACCAUACAAUCAGACAGAGCUGCUGGAUUGUACAGGGCUCCGACGCAAGGAGACACCUAGCCCGAAGCGCCACUGCCUUCGCAGGCUGUCACUUCCAGGUCGAAGCCUAAAGCUCCCUGUGCACAUUCAGCAGAUGGAGCAGAAGAGAUGAGCUUUGCCUUGUAGCUCUGGUCGUGUAAAUCAUAUUCAUCUUCUAGGGGACUAGAAGUCCUGGCCUUAAAACUGAGACAUUAUCUCAGAGGCCAAACCAAAGUCAAGUGUCCCCGCGUUGGGGUCGUGCCGUGGUCAGCUGGCUAACACAGAAAAAGCUCUGUGUGUCUCUCACAGCACAUGGGCUGACACAGAAACAUCCUGGGGGCAAGGCCAGAUUCCAUUUCCAAAAUCGCCAAGGCCAGCCCCACAGACCAGAGCAAGGUAGGAGCUGUGGGCAUCGUCAACCCUAACCCUGGUAAGACCAGCUUUUUAAAUACACAUUGGGCCAUGAAUAAUAUUUAAAUGCACUGCUUUAAUACAAAUAACCACCACCCCUCAAUGUAAUUUUCAAAAAGAAUCCUGUUUUCUAGAAAAGGAAACAGGCAUUACUGCUGCUCACUGUCCCCAGAGGAGAGUCAGGGUCCCCAGCCAGGUGUGCGGCACGGAGGGACCAUGGCCGGCCAGCCAUGUAUGGGUCUAAGAUGCAGACUGUACCGUACAUCAAAAGGUGUUAAUGGUUUCAAUAUUUAUCUGCUGCAGGGAAGCACUCUAAAAAGAAGACAGAAAAAAAAAAAUUCUGCUAAUGGCUGUGUCUUUGCCAUUAAAAUGAAAAGCUUAAUGCAUCUUAUAAUCAGAGGACAAUUUGCAAAUCAUUAAGAGAAAUGUAAAAUUCCAUUAAAAUACAAAUCAAGAGACUCUCCCUGGACUAAUAAUCUUUUUGAUAUUAUUUUGCAUUUCACUAUUUCUGUUCCAAUACCCAGGUCCCACAAAUGAUCAGCUACUGAACACGCUAUUUACCACAGCCUACUUCUUUAACGAGAGACUGGGAGAAGGAUGAUCUGCUAUUCAGAGCAGGUACUAAUGAAGAAUUCCAUAUAUUCUGAAAUUUAAUUAAAACCCCAAAGAUUUCAAAUUAGAUGCAAUUUGAAAUGCCUGGGGCAGAAAUACAUGCACUUCCGUGGCAAGGGUAUCACACUGAAAGUUGAUACCGUAAUUGGUCUUGAUGUAUUUUUGUGUUGCCGGGCUGAAGCACAGAACUCAUAACCAUAUAAAAAUUCUCUGUAGAUUACCUGCUCAUUGAAAAUGCCAUCACUCAGGUAGUCCUCUACUAAAUUACCAUGCUACUAAAAUGCACAAAGUGAUUCGGAGAGUGGAGCGGCACAGCUGGCCGACGCUGCCAAUGAGUUAUGCAUGCGUCAACGCGGCCUUUUUUCUUAGUAAAAUAUGCUCAGUUGAAUAUUAAAAUAUAAUUGGCAUUCAACCUAAGUAGCUUAAACCAUUUUGUUAUCUUCUUUUAAACCGAUUUGGCUCCUCCACAGUUAUUUUCAAGGAUGCGAUUCACAAACUAAUGAUACCAUCAUAUUCAGCUAGAUUUGUGCUGUUUUACAUUUGUCAUAAAUAGGUACAGUUUCUACAGCCUUCUAGGGAGAGCCUUUAAUAUUAGCUGCUCUUGAACAUCAAAGGCCCAAUUCUUGGGAAAAAGCGGGGGGAUGUGCCAUUUCUGUUGGUUCUUGCAUAUUUUAUUCUGAAAAGAGGAAGAGACGCGAAUUUUCUAUGAAAAGUACACGUCUUGGGCAAGCUGUAAGUCCUGACGUGUCUCUUGAGCUCAGUUGCUAGGUCUUACUAAAACCAUCUAAGUAAGGAAGGGCUGAAGAGAAAAUCAGGUUGCUUGGCAGGCGGGGGAUCACGGAGCCCAGUGCAUUUUUUUAAAAAGCAGACAGUGUGGGCACACACACCCACCCGUGGAAGACUAUGGCCAAGUCCCCUUUCUUACACAAUAUGUGUUUGUGCAACAAUUAACAACAGUACUCAAGAAAAAAGAAGUAGUUGUCAUAGUAACAGCUACGCUGUACAUAUUUAUGCUGGCAGAGAGGGUGGGUUCUCCAGAGCACUGUUUCCUGGACGUUGCCAAUACUUAACCUGAAUAUUUGGAAGGGCAGAGAAAGCCUGAUCCAAACUUAACUGAGUCAAGAGUUUAAGAGCUUUCAAAAAAGGACUUUCUUUUCCUCGAUUUCGUUCUUCAAUUUACUUCUUUGGGAGUAACUUCUUGUAUGGAAUUAAAACGUGCUACAGAGCUGGAGACGUCCCAGCUGAGCCUCCAGGAAGUCUGCUCUGCCUUGAGGAUGUUCCCAUCUCCACGCGGCCUCGGAAGCGACAGCGACGGCCGCAUACCUCCAACAGGAGAAAGGAGUUCCCUCUAUGUCAAUAUUUGCUUUUUCCAUUCUGACACCAGAAACAACAUCUAAAGAGGGACAGAGACUCAUGAAUCUUACAUUCCGAGUCAGCCUGAACAUAAGGAUUGCAGGCAAAAACCGUAUGUGUGAAAGCAUUUACCUUAAACCAUAGUUCUUACACUUUUGGCUCCUGCAAUAGUUUUUUGGCAUUAUCACUAUUAAUUUUAUACUGAUAUUUACAUAUUUAACAUAUUGAUAACGUAGUCCAAUUCUAUGUACACGUUAUUAAAAUAUCAUUUUCUCUAUAACCACAGGUAGCGGAGACAAUUCUACUUAUUAUUGCUAGAAUUAUUUCAAAUGCACUAACAUUACCUAUAAAAUAAGAAUGUGCAUUUUAUGAUGACAAAAGAUACGAAGUAAACAUUCUCUUUUGGAGUAGCACAAGUCCAGCUAAUGACUACAGUGGAAACAGAAAUUUAGAAACAUAUUUAAGUGAAAAGUGUGUUUUUUACUUUAAAACAGAGAGAAAAUUCCUAUUUUUCAAAGCCUAUUUAAAAUGCAAGUUUAUUGAAGGAAGCAAUGAUGCAAUUUACACUUCCUCAUAGGCAGAAACCUGGUUACUUCUACUUUUUGAGGAGUCCAUUCAAGUCCAACGCCAGGACACUGCGGACAAUCCUUCUAAAGGCAUUCACAUAAUUACGGUGACUUAAUUUUUAAUAGAAGCCAUCACUGAUUUACUGUUUCAUUACUUCACCAGAGUUAAGUUAUAUUUUAAUGCGAAUAUUUUCCCAUAAAAGCAGCACUCAUAAUAAUUUUAAAUAUUACAAGUCCUGCUUAUUGUAGUAGAGACCCUAGUUACGUCCAGCGAGGUGUGAAAGUGGCUGACUCUCAAACAGGCCUUUUGGUUUCCUCUCAGGCUUGGUAAAUUGGUCUGUGUGAGGGCUGCUUCCUUUCCUCCAACUCAUGGAAACCUCAGGGAACUACGGACCCAAACACCUCUUACGUUCAGGAUGAAACUCUCACCUAACUAUGCUUCUCCUACAGACACUGUGGGAUCGCUGAUGAGUCAGAGGGCUCUGCACAGGGACACCACGAAUUUCCUGGGAUUCAGCAGGCCAUGGCUCUGUUCCAGCCACUGCCAGUGGACCAGGAGCUGAGCUCCCCUUUCCUAGGAGAGGGGCAGGCAUUUCCUCAACAGCAAAACAUUCCUUCAAUGGGCACCGCUUUUAAGUCUCAAACAAAAAUAGCUAUUAAAUUAGGAAUGUUAGACUUAGUAGAGGGUAAAGCACGCAGCAAAAGCAUUCAUAAGAGCUACCUCCAUUUUGAUAAAUUCCUUUAGAACAGUAAUUCUCAGAAACAGGGUAUGUGUAUGUGUGUGCCCACGCUAAGGUUUUAGUGUAUCUUGAGGAGAGAUAAGAAGAAUAAAUUUUUUUUUUUUUUUUUGAGAUGGAGUCUCGCUCUGUCUCCCAGG